GACGAACGCUGGCGGCGUGCUUAACACAUGCAAGUCGAACGGAAAGGCCUUUUCGGAGGUACUCGAGUGGCGAACGGGUGAGUAACACGUGGGUGAUCUGCCCUGCACUCUGGGAUAAGCCUGGGAAACUGGGUCUAAUACCGGAUAGGACCGCACUUUAGUGUGUGUGGUGGAAAGUUUUUUCGGUGUAGGAUGAGCCCGCGGCCUAUCAGCUUGUUGGUGGGGUAAUGGCCUACCAAGGCGGCGACGGGUAGCCGGACUGAGAGGUUGGUCGGCCACAUUGGGACUGAGAUACGGCCCAGACUCCUACGGGAGGCAGCAGUGGGGAAUAUUGCACAAUGGGCGCAAGCCUGAUGCGGCGACGCCGCGGGGGGGAUGACGGCCUUCGGGUUGUAAACUCCUUUCGCCAGGGACGAAGCGUUUUGUGACGGUACCUGGAGAAGAAGCACCGGCUAACUACGUG
rnacentral:rRNA from 1 species